UACGAAGGGGGCUAGCGUUGCUCGGAAUCACUGGGCGUAAAGCGCACGUAGGCGGAUUGUUAAGUCAGGGGUGAAAUCCUGGAGCUCAACUCCAGAACUGCCUUUGAUACUGGCGAUCUUGAGUCCGGGAGAGGUGAGUGGAACUCGAGAGUGAGUGGUAAAUUCGUAGAUAUUCGGCAAGAACACCAGUGGCGAAGGCGGCUCACUGGCCCGGUACUGACGCUGAGGUGCGAAAGCGUGGGGAGCAAACAGGAU
rnacentral:rRNA from 1 species